AUCACUCGAGUCCAAGACCAAAUCACCACCACAUACACUAACGAAGGACCAUUUUUUCUUGUUAACAUCCAAUGAGCAAAUUUCUCAUUUCUACUGUUAGAACCGAUUGGAUCAAGAAGCUCUGCGUGGACAUUGGAGCCUCGUUUCUGUACUGCAACUGUCGAUCGUCUCUUCCAGCGAGUUGGUGACACCAAGAAACAGUGACUAACGCCCAGAAAAAAAUAUGGCGAUGGCUCCGGAGUACGGCGCUUUCGUGAGCAAAUUCGUGCUCGAGCCUCCCUCCCCGUCUCCCUCGCUUCCCUUGGCCGGCCUCACCUUCGCCGUCAAGGACAUGUGAGCGAUUCCUACUGCUUCCUCCGCUGUCGCUCGACCGUGACACGACACGGUUCACUGUAGUCUCUGUUUCUCUCUCGAUAAGCCCAGCUUUGGUUUCUGGGUGUUCAUUUUUCCUUCUUUUCGAUCAAGUGGGAAGAUGAUGAUUUUAAGUCGUGUGUUUUUGCCGCCCAUUUUGCGUUGUUUGGUCAGUAAGUAGUCUUUAACUUCGGAUUAGUCAGUGAAGUAUCGACGUUUGUCAUGAAAAAGCGAAGACCAAUGAGAGAUACUCACUUACCAGUGAUCAGCUG
rnacentral:lncRNA from 1 species